rnacentral:rRNA from 1 species
ACAUGCAAGUCGAGCGCGAAUGGAGCAAUCCUAGUACAGCGGCGCACGGGUGCGUAACACGUGGAUAAUCUGCCUGGGAGACCGGAAUAACCUGCCGAAAGGCAAGCUAAUACCGGAUAAGCCCACAGGGACUUCGGUCCUCCAGGGAAAAGGUGGCCUCUGUAUACAAGCUAUCACUUCCAGAUGAGUCCGCGGCCCAUCAGCUAGUUGGAGGGGUAAUGGCCCACCAAGGCUACGACGGGUA